GUUUUAAUAAUUUAAAUAAAAUGUUGGUCUUGUAAACCAAAAAUAAGAUUAUUCUUUUAAAACU
rnacentral:tRNA from 1 species